AGGAGACACAGCCCCGGGCCACACCCCACCCAUGGUGGCAAGGGAGCUCGCCCCAGGGCCAGGUUUCCCGGGGUCUCCCUGCCCACCUGAGCCUCUCAGGCUCCCAGGAAAAGGAGGGCCGGGGCUGGAAGGAUGGAGGAGGGGAAGAAAGAGUAGAGGGACCGGGCACCCGCCGCGGCCUCGCGUGCCUGGCCAGGACCUGGCAGGGAAUCAGAGGGUCCGGGAGAUACUCUGGCAGGUUCCAAAGUCAGAUGGAACCUGGGGUCUCCCCACUGGGGCCCCAGCCAUGAGCUCGGGCGCAGAGAGGCGAGGGAUGGGGGGCCGCCUCCUUCACUUCUGCUCUGUCCCUCCCUGUCCGGCAAGCACAUGUGAAGCGCUCGCCCUGUGCCAAGCCAGGGACUGGCUCCAGGGCUCCAGAUGAAUCAGGCCUGCUCCCCGGGGGCUCGGCCUGUGGGAGGAGACAGACACAGAGACAAAUAAUUAAAGACAUGAAUGAAGCCUUUGAGAUAAAAAUACACCCGCGGUGGAUACAGAGGCUCCGAGAUGAUAAACUCAGUGUUUUUUGUGACCUGAACCAGGACAGAAGGGGCGCUCACAACUGGGCAGUGGAGAUGGGGCUAUGUAACCCCGAGGGAUGCUGGAGACUCUGUCCCUGAUGGCCCGGAUUGCCCUUCGGUCACCACCCUCUGUAAAACAGUGACGGGCGGAGGCUCUGCCGAGCUGCAGGAAGGGGUUCCCAGGGCGCCCAGCCUAGACCUUGACCUGUAGCCAACUUCGUCACCACCUCCAGCAAGUGUCUCCUCUGAGCCUCUGUUUCCUCAUCUGCCAAAUGGGCGUGCGCAUCGGAAGAUGAUGACAACUGCUGAUACCGGCUGGUGUCCCCAGGGGCCUUGCACCCAGAUCUCUGCAGGCCUCACCUGGCCGCCUUAGCACCCGCCCUGGGAGGUACGUACUAUUAACAGAAGAAACCGCUCGUCCAGAGGAGGAAGGCCGGUGGUUGGUAAGUAGAAAAGAAAUAUUUAAAGCAGGAAGUCUCACGCUAUGUGAAAUAGGCAUUUUAUUGAACAUAAACACAGCUUAUUGGAUGUUAUUGGAAAGUCACGCGUGCGCUUCUAUUAAAUGAUCUCUUGGCUCAGGCCCAAGGCCGCCUCGGUGACCAGGGCCUCCGGCGGAAGUCCUGCCCUGUUUUUCUUGCAUUAAACAAACCAAAGCAGCCGCGUGUAUGGUUCCCGUUUGGUUCCUGCAGGGUGAGUAACACCUUAGAGAGGCUCGCGAGACGACCCGAGUUCCAGCCCUCACCCCCCGAUUUUCAAGAACUCCCCUGGUUUCAGCCCUUACCUGAUUCAGCAUGAAUUUCAGUUGGGUUGAGUGAUUUGUUUGUUCUCUGGUUUUGUGAUCCAGGACUGGGGCUGGAACCCAGGGCCAACGCUCUGCCACUGGGCUACUUCCCCACACCGGAGCAGUGUAACUACACAGGUGUCCCUUAUCCAUAGUGGGGCGUCCCCACGGGAUGCCGGAACCCCAGACAACACCUAACCCAACGGACACCGCGUUUUCCCCCUAGGCCCCACGGCCUCGCCACAAGCCUCAGAACUCGACGCGUCCUUCUGUGCCUCGGGUCCCAGCCUCCGAAUCACUGCCUUUGCACCUUGGGGACAUUAGUGAGUACAGGAAGGGUCCUUGGACACAGGCGCUGUGGUACUGAGGUGGCCACCGAGAACCACAUGUGUCCAGCCUGGGGACACUGGACAAAGGGAUGAUUCACGUCCUGGGCAGGAUGGAGCAGCACCGUGAGGUGUAAAAACCGUCCCCAGAAAGGUGCGCAACGGAAAACUCACCGAUUGUUUCUGGAAUUUUCCAUCUAAUACUUUCAGACCACAGUUUACCCAGAGUAACUGAAACCAUGAAAAGUGAGAUGAAGGACAAGGAAGGCUGGCUCCGUUGUCACCCCUACCCCGCCUACCUCGCCCCCCGUCUCGCUCACGUCUGAUCCUGAACUUUUUAUUUCUUUUCUUUUUUUUGACACCCCACCUUUCCUUGGGGACCUUCCUAAGGCCCCUUUUCAGUUUUCAGAGACACAACAGCUCUUUCCUGGUCUCAUUCUCGUCCUGGGUUCAGCAGUGACCACCAGUGGCCCGGGCCUGCAGGAGCAGGGGCUCCGGGCAGUGACCUUCAUACCUAUAGGAACCUUCUCCACCUGCCUUCCCCAGGCUCAUGGGGAGCCACUGAACCGAGGUCCAGGACAGGCUUCUACUAUUCCAUCCCCACUUGACAGGUAAGGACACCGAGGUACGUGACGUCACUUCCCUGAAGCCCCCACGCUUGGCAGAGCUAGAACAGGGCCCCUGAGGCCCCUGCGGCCCCUGCGGCCCCUGCUCCUUACCCCUGCUCUCUGCUGCCCCCUGCCUUUGUGUCCUGGGGUCCCUGAGCCUUCCGGCUUCCCUGCUGGAAGGACCAGAGUGGGGGACAUUUACACAUGGUCAGCACCACCACUGGGCCAGAAGGAGAUGACGGCCACUGCACUCAGCCUGCCCCCCACCCCAGGUCAGUGUCCCCAAGCCCAGGCCUGGCACUCCACAGGUGCUUCUGAGUGUGAUGCAGCUGGACAGGAACCGUCGAUCUGCCCCUUUGUCCCCACAAGUGUCCCCAGAACCUGCUCCGGGGCAGGCGCAGCUGUCCCUGGGAUGUGGCGGACGCCACCCUUUCCUCACAGUGCUGGGUUCUGGUGGGACCAUCCCAGCCCCGCAGUUCCAGGCUGGCUCUGGCCCACACUUCCUCGGACGGGUGCCCGGGACGCUGUGGGUGGGGGAUGUGGAUUUUGGAGUCAGAAACCUCUGAAUUCCAGCUCUGCCCCUCACUGGCUGUGGGACCUGGUCCGGUGGAGGCCCUGCUCCAGGCCCUGGGGACUGACCCCUCGGGGCUGAGACAGACACCGGCAGGGGGGCUCGGCUGUGGACAGGGACAGGGACAGGGCAGGUAGCUGCGAGCAGCUUCCGACGGUUGGUGUCUGUGGAGAGCGAGGUGGUGAGCGAGGGAAACGAAAAGAGGCCAGACGCCACGCAGGCCGCAGCACGCAAGGGCCGCCCAGCCCAGCCGCCUCCCAGGCCCAGAAAGGGGAAGACGGCCCAGACCGGGAAGUGGUCGCCUCUGAUGACCACCUCGCGCGACCGCGCCAGCCCGAGCAGGAAGUGGUCGCCCUUCCCAGCGGCAGGCCCGGCCGAGCUCACACUUGGGAAACUGCCGCCGAAAGUCCCCGCUCCCGGGCCGCUUGGGAGCAGCCUCGGAUUCUUAGAAACCAGAUCCCGCCAGGCCCUGGCUUCGUGGCCGGGGGGCCGCAGACCCCCACCCGACUCUGCCAUUUCCUGGCCCUGAAGCUCUGACCCCGGGCCUCCCCGUCUGGACCUGUUCCUCCUCUUUAAAGGGGUGAUAAUCCCCCACCUGCCACCACAGAGGAUAGUGAAGACAGAAAGUCCUAAAAAGGUCAGAGCUGGAAAGUCCCCAAGGGCCUGUGACGAGGAGGAUGCAGGUGGACAGAGUAGGAGACAGGUCCCAUGCCAGGUCCCAUGCCAGGGCCAUCUGAGGUGGAGGGAGACCUACAGAGGGGGCAGGGCCCACCUCAGCUCCACCCCAGCCACAGGACCUUGGUCAAGUCAACCCGCCUUUGGCGCCUUUUCCUGAGACGAGAAAACAGGCCUUGUCUCCCUGGCCCCUGGGGACCCCGCCUGGGACGAUGCCCAUAGAGAUGUUCUGCAAACUGUAAUGCGCCGUGCACACAAAGGCUGCUCCGUGGGGCGGGGCUGGAACCCGGAUCUCGUGGGUGUGUGUCCUUUGCUGCCCC
rnacentral:lncRNA from 1 species